rnacentral:ncRNA from 1 species
UAUCGUGACACCGCAGUCGGUCCGCCACGCCCACCAGGUGGCGGCGCAAGCGGGAACCCGGUGCGAGACCGGGACUGCCCCGCAGCAGUGAGUGGGAACGACCGCCGCCAUCAGCACUGGACCCACAGGGCCUGGGAAGCCACGGCCGGUAGGCCUGAGCACGACGCCCACGACUCCGAAGACCUGCCCACUGCCCACGUGCAUC